UGGGGAAUCUUGCACAAUGGGCGCAAGCCUGAUGCAGCGACGCCGCGUGGGGGACGAAUGCCUUCGGGUUGUAAACCCCUUUCGGCAGGGAAGAAGCGAAAGUGACGGUACCUGCAGAAGAAGCUCCGGCUAACUACGUGCCAGCAGCCGCGGUAAGACGUAGGGAGCGAGCGUUGUCCGGAUUCAUUGGGCGUAAAGCGCGCGUAGGCGGUUUGGCAAGUCGGAUGUGAAAUCCCGAGGCUCAACCUCGGGACUGCAUCCGAUACUGCCCGACUAGAGGUAGGUAGGGGAGAUCGGAAUUCCUGGUGUAGCGGUGAAAUGCGCAGAUAUCAGGAGGAACACCGGUGGCGAAGGCGGAUCUCUGGGCCUUACCUGACGCUGAGGCGCGAAAGCUAGGGGAGCGAACAGG
rnacentral:rRNA from 1 species